GAUGAACGCUGGCGGCGUGCUUAAUACAUGCAAGUCGAACGGAGUGUUAGCAAUAGCACUUAGUGGCGAACGGGUGAGUAACGCGUUGGUGACCUGCCCUAUAUAGCGGGAUAACAGUUCGAAAGGACUGCUAAUACCGCAUGAUAUCUCCGAGGUUAGAGGCUUGGAGAUGAAAGGGAGCAAUCCGCUUUGGGAGGGACCUGCGUCCCAUCAGCUAGUUGGUAGGGUAACGGCCUACCAAGGCAACGACGGGUAGGGGACCUGAGAGGGUGAUCCCCCACAUUGGCACUGAAACACGGGCCAAACACCUACGGGUGGCAG
rnacentral:rRNA from 1 species